rnacentral:rRNA from 1 species
CGAACGGGUGAGUAACGCGUGAGGAACCUGCCUCAAAGAGGGGGACAACAGUUGGAAACGACUGCUAAUACCGCAUAAGCCCACGGCUCGGCAUCGAGCAGAGGGAAAAGGAGUGAUCCGCUUUGAGAUGGCCUCGCGUCCGAUUAGCUGGUUGGUGAGGUAACGGCCCACCAAGGCGACGAUCGGUAGCCGGACUGAGGGGUUGAACGGCCACAUUGGGACUGAGACACGGCCCAG